rnacentral:misc_RNA from 1 species
UCCCCGUUAACCGGGGCAGUUGCGUCUGAGAAUUACAACAGACGCCGGGGGUUGCGCUCGUUGCGGGACUUAACCCAACAUUUCACAACACGAGCUGACGACAGCCAUGCAACACCUGUCUCUAGGUUCCCGAAGGCACUCCUCUGUUUCCAGUGGAUUCCUAGGAUGUCAAGUCUUGGUGAGGUUCUUCGUGUACCAUCGAAUUAAACCGCAUGUUCCACCGCUUGUGCGGGACCCCGUCAAUUCCUUUAAGUUUUAAGCUUGCGCUCGUACUCCUCAGGCGGGAUGCUUAACGCGUUAGCUUCGCUUCCGAGGGGGUCGAUACCCCCAAAAGCUAGCAUCCAUCGUUUAGGGCGUGGACUAC